rnacentral:rRNA from 1 species
UACGAAGGGGGCUAGCGUUGUUCGGAAUUACUGGGCGUAAAGCGCGCGCAGGCGGCUAUCCAAGUCAGUGGUGAAAGCCCGGAGCUCAACUCCGGAACUGCCAUUGAAACUGUUUAGCUGGAGUAUGAGAGAGGUGAGUGGAAUUCCCAGUGUAGAGGUGAAAUUCGUAGAUAUUGGGAAGAACACCGGUGGCGAAGGCGGCCAACUGGACCACAACUGACGCUGAGGCGCGAAAGCGUGGGGAGCAAACAGG